UCACAAAUAAGUUAAAAUAUGGAUAAAAAUAUGAUUUACCAUAUCUAAAUAGAAUUAUGUCAAUUAUAAAUGAAAAAUAAAAGAAAUAAUUAUCAAAUCCAAAUAGGAAUGAAAACAAGAUGUGUCAAGGACAGGUUUAUACUUAUCUAACUUCAGACCUAACUUUUAAAACCUAAACACAACCUGCAAAUAAUGGGGUUGAAAAUAAUAAUAUUAUUACCAAAUUCAUUAGAUAUUGGAUAACUCAAGCCGGACAGAAACUGAAAAAGUAGACAUACUUAACAAAGGUAAAAAAUAAUAAAUAAAGUAGAACCUUGUUAAUUGAUGCCAAAAAAUUGUCUUCAUUUACGCAAACCACAAUCUGUAUGAGUAACAGAAAUCCGACCAAUAAAAAAGGAAAUCACUUCUGACAGAACAAGAAAUUAACAAUAAGGGAAUAAAGAUAAUCUUCAUAUAAUUGUUUUAUAACAACAAAUACAUCAUUAGACAUAGUCUGCACAAAAAGAUGAUAAUCUCUAUUACUACUAAAGCAGUAUAUCUUAUAUGGUGUAGUUGAUAGGAUAUUUAUUAUUAUGUUUGGUAUGUGGUUCAUUAGAAUAUGAUAGUUGAUUAUUUAAAUUUAAUAUUUGAUAUUACAGUAGUAUUUCUAGAAUGUUCCAGUGUUGUGAGAUAAUGACACUUGUAUGAUCAUCAUCAUCUUAGGGUUAGUUUGGGAGUUAGAUUUUGGAGGGGAAGGAAAGGAAAGGCUUGGGAGCUAUGAAAAUCCAACUCAUAUUCAAACGCAUAUUUGUUUGGACAAGUUUCUCCUCUAUACAUAUUUUCUUCCUUCCCUUUCCAUUCAUUCCCCUCCAAAAUCCAACUCCCAAACUAACCCUUAGGGUUUCUUUAUUGUCUUUAAAUAGUGUUUUGUUCAUCCAUAAAUCAGUGAAUGAAAUAUGAACAUUAUCUUUUAGUUUUAUCCCUUUAUGGAGGAGUAGAAUCAUUAUAGCUUGAUUCCUUGAUAGGAGAAAUUUGUUCCCUAUCAAUUGGUGCUUUCAUUCUUGACAAUGCCUCCCAAAAACCCAAACAAAGAGAUUGAUGAAACCUUGCUGCAACUUUUCAGUGAUAAAUUGAAUGAAAACAAAGAACAACAAGAUGCAAGACAUAAAACAAUUAUUGAGGCACUCAUAUCCAUAACAAACAAACUCUCAUAUCUUCCCGAUGUUUAUCAUCAAAGAGUGACAAAUGAAGGAAGUAAUAUUGGGACCUUAGCUCCCACAUAAUCCCAUCUAAUCAAGCAUGAGCAUCUUGAAACAAGCAAAUAUCAACAAUUUGCAUAUGCUCCUGCCACAACUGGGUUUGAAGCUGCACCAUGGACUAUUCAGAAAAUCACAACAUAUACAAUUUAUUCUAAUCAUUCUCUCUACAAUCAGAUUACUACCACCAAACCCCACAACUACAUAUCUCAUUUUUAUUCUUUCCCACAAUGGCCAACCCAACAACCUCCCCCAAAACCACCUCCACACUUACAUUACCUACCUUCUCAACUCUACUUUUAUCAACCUUAUCAUACAUUAAAUCAACAAGCAUCUCAUAUUAUAUCCAACAUCGCUCACACCAAUCCGAAAACCAUGAACAAAAAUAAAAAAAAUCAAUAACAAUAGAAAUAAAAUUCAGCAAUCAUUGUCUCCCCGUUGUCAAUGGAUGAAGCAUCACUGACAACUACAGCAAAAUCCAUUCUGUCCACCGCCAAGCGAUGCAAAAAGAAAAGAAACUCUCCCUCGUAUGUAUAGAGGAGAAACAUAUUUGUUUGGACAUGAACACUUUUUUGAAGGAAGAAAAUUAAUUGUUGGAAGAGCAAAAAAAAGUUUGAAUAUGCGUUUUAAACCAAUUUUUGAAAAGAAAUUGGCUAGAUCUAAGAAGAAGAUGGAAGAAAAGUUGAUUUGGGAAGAGAGAAAAACUGAAGGACCACAACCUCUAUCCACAAACCUCGACAUAGAAGCAUAUUUGCCUUCAUCUAUGUUGCUCGAAUGUCUGGAAUUUUUUUAACCACUAAUGGGUUCCAAUUCCUUUCUCAAUCUAAUGUACCUCUUCCUAUAGCUGCCUUCCAUCACCAUAGUCUUCUUCAAGAAUGCUCACUGAUGCCUCUUCCUUUAGGUAGCCUUGAUGAGAUGGAAAAAUAACUUAGGUUUUUAGCACUUAGGCCACUUAUUGUUGGAUCUAAAUUUCUUCCCAGCCCUACUGCAAUUAUUGGGAGAGAAAUGUUUUGUGAUAUUGCUGAAAGUGCACACAUGGUGGUCAUUAAUGUAGAGAAGUUUUU
rnacentral:lncRNA from 1 species